GAUGAACGCUGGCGGCGUGCCUAAUACAUGCAAGUCGAGCGAACGGAUGAGAAGCUUGCUCCUCUGACGUUAGCGGCGGACGGGUGAGUAACACGUGGAUAACCUACCUAUAAGACUGGGAUAACUUCGGGAAACCGGAGCUAAUACCGGAUAAUAUAUUGAACCGCAUGGUUCAAUAGUGAAAGACGGUUUUGCUGUCACUUAUAGAUGGAUCCGCGCCGCAUUAGCUAGUUGGUAAGGUAACGGCUUACCAAGGCAACGAUGCGUAGCCGACCUGAGAGGGUGAUCGGCCACACUGGAACUGAGACACGGUCCAGACUCCUACGGGAGGCAGCAGUAGGGAAUCUUCCGCAAUGGGCGAAAGCCUGACGGAGCAACGCCGCGUGAGUGAUGAAGGUCUUCGGAUCGUAAAACUCUGUUAUUAGGGAAGAACAAAUGUGUAAGUAACUAUGCACGUCUUGACGGUACCUAAUCAGAAAGCCACGGCUAACUACGUG
rnacentral:rRNA from 1 species